rnacentral:rRNA from 1 species
UACAGAGGGUGCUAGCGUUGUUCGGAAUCAUUGGGCGAAAGGGCGUGUAGGCGGUUUGUUAAGUCAUGUGUGAAAGCCCCCGGCUCAACCGGGGAACGACGCAUGAAACUGGCAGCUAGAGUACCCGAAGAGGGGGGGUGGAAUUCCCCGGUGUAGCGGUGAAAAUGCGUAGAUAUCGGGGAGGAACACCUGUGGCGAAGGCGGCCCCCUGGUCGGAUCUGACGCUGAGACGCGAAAAGCGUGGGGGAGCAAACAGG